GUUGUAAUAAUAUUUAUGGACAACUUAUCUUCGAGUGAACGUUCAAGAGUAUCUUUUACCACAUCUUACCAUGAAUAUUCAAUUUGAUUAUUGAAUGGCUUUCGUGUAACUUUAGUGGAGGACCACAUUUCUGACUUUAGAACAUCUUAUUAGGUGUGGACGCCCUGAGAAGUUUGUGUCUGUAAUCCUUCUUCCUCAAGGCGAGUAACGAAAUAUAGAUUAUAUUUCGAGAAUCAUUAAUUUUACUUAGUAAUCAAUAAGUUGUGUUCAUUUAUAUCUACAGAACAGAUAUAAAGCUCGACGUUUAAAAUAUAGUAAUAUAUAAAUAUAUAAACAACAUAUAAAAAUAUAUAAAUAUAUAAGAGAAUCAAUGUUGCAUAUAUAACACCUUGAAUUUACGCUUAAACUCGUAAAACAUUUGGUAUAAAUUUGUUAAAUUAAAAGUUUGGGGUAAUAAAACAUACAAGGACAUAUUAAAAUGACGAAUUAAAAUUCCAGAGAAAAAUACUGUACUUGAAUCCUCUCAAAACGAAUUGAAUCUCUGGUCUGUGGCCUACAUGGACUCGGCGUUGUGUAAAGAGCUUUCCCAGGACGCUAUCACGCAGGAAAUCCGACGUAUAAAUAAAACACAUAUACUGUGUAUGUGCGUUUGAUAAUGCUUAUAUUACUAGAGCUGCUUUUAAUUCGAUAUAUAUAUAUUUAUAUAAAACACGACCAACAUUAACUUCUGGUUUCAAAUCAGUGCUGAUGCUACUGCAAGAGACGCUCUUGUCUUGUAUCAGUUAAAAACAUCGGUUAUUACAUCGCAUAUCAAAUAGGAACAUGGUACUGAAAAGCGUUUGGUGUACAAAUUUCACACUUCAUAUUGACGUAUAUACUUAAAUAUUUUUACCCUCACCUAUUGUGUAACACUCCUCUUUCAAUCUAUCUUCACAAAAAACGUUUUAUUCUUAACCAUAAAAUUAUAGCUAGAUUGCCUAGAUGCACAAUGAAGCUUUUUUAAUAUAUAAUGUUUUGAAGUUUGAUUUUUUGACACCACAAUUUGUAGCUUGUUUCAUGUCGAAUGUGGUAAACAUAGAGAUAAACACUUAGUAACCAAAUCCAUGAAACAGUUUUAAUUCGUAAUUGAAAGAAAUUCAUUACUCUUAUGCUAUAAAUAGCGCUUCUCGCAUACCCAUACAUUCUCGUUCCUGCAAUAAAUAGACUUUGAACCUAGUAAAAAGAUCUGAAUAUUUCUUGCUAUCAAAAUAUAACAAAAUAAACGUUACUACCUUUUUUCCACUUCAAGAUACAUUUAAUAAAUGCUGAUGCUGAGAAUGAGGGUUGCAAUGUCUGUGCUCGAACUGAUAAAUAGUUCACAACUCGUUUGUAUUUGUUUUUAUAGUAGUUUUAUUUUAGAUAUAACGUUGAUAUUCGGUUCCGUACAAUCAUGAAGAAGAGUCUAUCCAUCCAUCCAUUUUCAAUCCCCGUUGUUCCUAGAUAGGCCAUGGGUGUUGAGUUCACAGGUGUCUCCUCCACAGGGUUCAAUCAGAAACAGCCACCGUUAGAUUUUCCGCCAAGAUUUCCAAGCGUGACCAACUGAGAUUAUAGAUAUUAUCCAACCACUUUGUUCUUCGUUUAUCCCUAGGUCUCCAACCGAUUGGUACGGCUUGAAGAGUCCAUCUUGUGAUUCUUUCCUGCCGCAUUAUAAUCAUAAUUCCGUAGUAUCAGCGCUGUGACCGCUGAAUGUGGAGGAUUAACUGUUCGACCUGGAAAGACUCCUUGAUUUCCGAGCUACGCGCCCUGUCGAGAAACAUUACUCCAGACAGGGAGGAAUCCAUUUCUGUUGCUUGUAUUCACAAUCGUACUCUUUCGGUCAUUACUCAACAUUCAUGACCAUAGGGAUGGAAAUAGGCACAAUGGGUCUGGAAAAUGCUAAAAUGCUGCUGUUUGCUGUAGCAUAUGUUGUAUUAAAGCAAUUUUUUGAUAUUAAAAACAAUACAAAAUAUACAAAAAGCCACCCACCACCGUUGUCAUAGUCUGUGCAAUUAACUUUUACUGCAACAAACGCGCACUGCCUCCAUCUUAAGUGCGUUUGCAUUCGUUUUAACGAAAUUUCACCAUCAAUGAACAGACCUUCUCCGUUAGAUCGAACGUACAUGCCAUUUCCUUUCUUGCUGCUCCAAUACAUUAACUUUUCUCUUGAACUUUGCAAAUUUAUAAAUUCACAUAUCUCGAGGCAUUUCUUUCAUUAACUAGCAAUAUGUACGUCUAAUUAAUUUACCUUUACAUUAAAUAAUCUUGUCUGUAUUAUGUUUAUGUUUACAUAAAAAUAUUAUCUGAUAGUAAAUUCUUACUUCGAGAUUUAGUUUAUUUACAAAUACGCACAAACAUACAUACUCAUACAUACAUUCACACACUAACUACACACAACUAGAUAGAUGAAUUCAUAAACUAUCAUUUUUCUAAUUGCUUAUUCGUAAGUUUUGUAAUUAGUUACUACACGAAAACACACGCACGCACGCACUUAUUUCACAUAGGUUCAUAAUAGAUGUUAUACUUGAAAAUAUAUUUAAAUAUAGUAUGGAUAUGAAUUUAUAAACACGCACAUACACAAGGACAAACGUAUAUACAUAUACAUAUAUAUAAUAUAUAUAUAUAUAUAUAUAUAUAUAUAUAUAUAUACAUACAUAUAUAUAUAUAUAUAAUAUUUAUAUACAGUAAUAUAUAUUAAUAAAAGAAGAUAUAUAUCUAAAUAUAUAUAUAUAUAUAUAUAUAUAUAUAUAUAUAUAUAUAUAUAUAUAUAUAUAUAUAUAUAUAUAUAUAUAUAUAUAUUAACAGUUAUCACCAAGCUAAUGUGGCAGUCCAUAAAUAUAGGACGGAAGCUGCCGUUGAUUAGCUCCAAGAGGCCAUCGCCUCUAGCUCGCUAUAUGACACACGAACCUGUGGCCCUUAUAACCUUCGAACAGGGGAGGUCAGCCGCUUCCCUUUGCUGUCAGACUUCUGCAGACAUGUUUCAGGGUAGUUGCCCUUUAUCAAUGCAGAGCAGCCGAACCCAUAUUAGCUUGGUGAUAACUGUUAAUAGCCAGUACCUCUGCUGUAGUCUCCUUUAGAGAGACUUAGAAAUAAUAAUAUUUCUAUUAUAUAUAUAUAUAUAUAUAUAUAUAUAUAUAUAUGUGUGUGUGUGUGUGUGUGUGUGUGUGUGUGUGUGUGUACAUGUAUGUAUAUAUAUAUACAUACAUACUUACAGACAUACACAUACUUUUACAUAUAUACACAUAUAUAUACAUAUACAUAGAUAUUACCUUUACGUAUUACUAUUCAUGUACAUAUGUGUAUAUAUAUAUAAAUUUAUAAUUAUAAUUAUAAUUAAGUGUGCCAGAUAGUACCAGCGUUGUUAGAAAUGACAGUCGAAAAAUACUCAAAUAAGCCAUAAUAUCACUGAAAAUUUCACAUGCUGACCAAAUUGAGGAACUAGUAAAAUGCCACCCUACCAUUGCGGGAGAAAGACGCAAUUGAAGUUACAGAUAUACCAUUUCACGUGAUUUCGAACUCUGAGAUAAUACACUAAGUCCUCAUCAGUGGGUCUCACUGCCUGGGUUUAAACUAAAAACCGCUCCGACAUGCUUGUUAAAAUCAUUGAAAGACUAGCGCGAAAUUCAAACGAUAGAAAUGUAUUAUUAUGCAUAAAUAAAGAUAUUAUUAUGCAUAAAUAAAGAUAUUAUUAUGAAUAAAUAAUAAUAAUAAUAAUAAUAAUAAUAAUAAUAAUAAUAAUAAUAAUAAUAAUAAUAAUAAUAAUAAUAAUAAUAAUAAUAAUAAUAUGCUCAAUACCAUAGAUUUGCUUGCCAGUUGUUUGACCUUAACCCGUUGAGCAUGUCCCUUAGUGGCUGACGAUGUGUGCAUCUCUGAUCACGAGCAGAAGUAGUGGGGGAGCAUCAUAGCCAUGUGUUGAGAGGGAUUCUUUGGGGUUUGAAUAAUUCACCUCUGGAAAUAGGGUGGUUCUUUCAACAUCCUUAAACAACCCUUAUUCAGGGACCAUUUGAGCGGAUUGGGCUACUCAACCUGAAGAAAAUUCUAACUGGGCCCCACCUGCAAGUUCAUGUGCUGUUUGUCUUGAUAUGAGAUCACCAUGUCGCGCACAUAUGGUUGUGAUGCAUGUGCCUGGUGUACCCUUAUCAGACGGGUAGUCAUGAUGGGUAUAUUGGGCUUCGUAUAUUUUACCCCAGUGUCACUUUGAUGGCAUGAACUGCUCUCUCACUCAAUAAUAAUAAUAAUAAUAAUAUAAGUGUCUAGCAAGCAUAAAAACCAAAAAGGUAAAUUUAUAAUUUAUAAUAAUAAUUAUAAUUAAGGGUACCAGAUAUUACCAGUGUUGGUAAUAUAUAUAUAUAUAAGAAUAAUAUUUUUUAUAAGAUUAAAGAUCAUAAACAAUCACCGUUCAUUGACUCAGUUAAGUAGUCUAAUAUCGGGGCAUUUAAGGGGUUUGCCGUACGCAUGGGACGGCAAACCCCACUUUUUUUCUGUUGCGGGCUUACAUGCUCCAAUAUUAGACUAUUUAACUUCAAUGUAUGGUGAUCGCUUAUAAGUUAUAAAAUAUUAUUAUUAUUAUUUGUAAAUUGUAAAAUUCAGCACCACUUGCCAAAUAAUCGCAGAAAACAAGUAUAUAUAUGUGUGUGUGUGUGUGUGUGUGUGUGUGUGUGGAGGUGCGUGGCUUAGUGGUUAGGGCAUUCGGCUCACGAUUAUAAGGUCAAUUCCCGGCGACGCGUUGUGUCCUUGAGCAAGCCACUUUAUUUCACGUUGCUCCAGUUCACUCAGCUGGCAAAAAUGAGUUGUAUCCGUAUUUCAAGGGACCGGUUUUGUCACACUGUGUCACGCUGAAUCUCCCUGAGAACUACGUUAGCGGUACACGUGUCUGUGGAUUGCUCAGUCACUUGGACGUUAGUUUCACGAGCAAGCUGUUCCGUUGAUCGUAUCAGCUGGGACCCUCGUCAUCGUAACCGACGGAGUGCUAUUAAUAAUAAUAAUAAUAAUAAUAAUAAUAAUAAUAAUAAUAAUAAUAAUAAUAAUAAUAAUAAUAAUAAUAAUAAUAAUAAUAAUAAUAAUAAUAAUAAUGAUAAUAAUAAUAAUAAUAAUAAUAAUAAUAAUAAUAAUAAGAUGUGUAUAUAUAUGCAAAUAUGUGCAUAUAUACACAUACAUAUAUAUAUCGGCAAUACAUAAACGUACACAUUCGCACAUAUGAGAAUUCGGAGUGGCUCUGGUAAGAAGUAUAUGAAUAGAUAUAAGUAGGUGAAUGUAAUGUUGCGAUUUAGUGUAAGCAUCUGCGUGCACACGUGUGUGUUUAUACACUUUUUUAGGCGUAUGUAUAUGCUUACGUGCUUCCAUAUGUUAGUGAGUGCGUGUAUAUGAGUGUGUAUGCCGUGUGUGUGCAUAUGCAUGUGUGCGUGUGUCUGUGUGGUGUGUGUGUGGUGUGUGUGUGUGUGGUGUGGUGUGUGUGUAUGUGUGUGACUGAGUACAGGAGACAAGAGACGACAGUAAAAGAUACUAACGUGCUGACAAAUCAUUUUCUUUCAUCUCUACGAUGUCGCAUGUAAAUCUAGCUGCGGUUGUAUGUGUCACUGUAUUUUCAUAAGCCCACUCCAUUUCUACCCUAUAUAUAUAUAUAUAUAUAUAUCUGUGUGUGUGUGUGUGUGUGUGUGUGUGUGUGUGUGUGUGUGUGUUUUGGAUAGAAAUGGGGUGAGCUUAUAAAAAUAUAUACAUAUAUAUAUAUAUAUAUAUAUAUAUAUAUAUAUAUAUACAGGCACAUAUAUAUUCGUGUGUGUCUGUGCAUGCGUACGUGUGUGUAUAUGUAUACAUGUAUGUAAGUAUGCUGUAUGUAUGAAUAUACGUUCGUACAUUAUUUCUGUAUGUAUCUGUAUAAUUAUGUGUGUAUGUAUGUCAGUCAAAAGUCAUUGAAACGGCUAAGCAAGGAAAUAUAUUUUUAGAUUUCGGCAUAACUUCUAUUUAGCCCACGACUGAAAAAAAACACUUCUCUCACACAUACACGCAUACACAAAUAGACAUACGCACACAGACACACACUCCUUCAGUGUAAGAGUAGAAAAAAAGUCAUUUUGAAGCUAAAAGACAACUAAAACGUCCCACCCAAAUAUGGAUGAAAAGUCAACGCAGAGAACGAUGAAACUAUAAUUGCAUUCACUUCAUCUGAUGACUCAUAUUUCGCCUUAUGUAAUUCCGUCCCUCACCUCCACUUUGCUGUUUACAGCCUGUAGGAGUUUUUAAAAAAGUAUAUAUGUUCAACAUAUGUUUAGCCUUUUAUUUUAAUCUGUUAAUGUCUAUAUGAAUGUAUGCAUGUUUGUAUGUAUGUAUUAUUGGGUCGACUUCCAUCAUAUGUACACAUAUAAUGCAAAUUAUAUAUUUAUACACAUUAUUAUUAUAUAUACACUUGUGUGUGUAUACAUAUGUAUACAGACAUAUAUAUAUGUGUGUACAUAUGUAUGUGCAUGUGUGUGUGCAACACAUGAAAGUACUAGUUUAUUUCAAUAUUGUAAAAUUGUAAAAAUUGUAAAUAAUAACACGUGAAAAUCAGACUAAGAUGGAAUUUCAUUGAUUAACACAGACACACUCAUAUAUAUAUAUAUACAUACAUGCAUACGUACAUACAUACAUCCAUACAUCCAUACAUCCAUACAUACAUACAUCCAUACAUCCAUACAUACAUACAUAUAUAUAUACACACACUCUCUCACACACACACACACACACACACACACACACACAUAUAUAUAUAUAUAUAUAUAUGCAUAUAUGGGUACAGGACGUCACCAACAGUAAACAACAUGAAGUACGAAAACAAAUGAGUUCAAUACGCAAACAAUGAGAGAAACAAAUGGCAACGGGACAAGUGACAUAAAGUACGACCCUUCAUCAGUUUAUCUACUCUUCAUUUCGAGCACUGAACGACAGUAUGAGUCUUCGAAGACAGUUGCUCCCAUAAGUACCAAAAUAAAAUGUUGGAUUUAUGGAGGGUCAAAGUUGGGAACAAAAACAGGACAAUGGAAAGAUACAAGGACACCGAACGAAAACAUGGAGGAUCGUUAGACCAGAACGAGGGUAAAAUAGCGAACGCUGGAGAAAUAUUUUUGACAAGAGAAAAGAUAGAGGAGAGAUAGGAUACGUCCAGUCCUUAGGACAGUCCUGAAAGAAAAGAAAGAUGAUCACUUGAGGAUAAGAAAGAUGGACGAUGGUCACGUGUAAGCAACGAGAGAAAUUAAAGGAGAAAGAAGGGGAGAGACAAAUAGAAAACGGUAAAGGGGGAAAAAGGGGAAUUAGAGAAAGGAUGAGAAAGAAAACGAUGGGGGAGAAAACAGUAUAGAGCAGAGUCGCAUGUGUAUAUAUAUAUAUAUAUAUAUAUAUAUAUAUAUAUAUAUAUAUAUAUAUAUAUAUAUAUAUAUAUAUAUAUAUUUGUAUGUAUGUAUGUAUGUGUGUGUGUGCGUGUAGAAAUAAGUAUAUAUAUAUCAUAAAAUGUGAUUUCUCAAGCUUCUACAUUAUUUCCAUAUUUCAAGUUAAAACACUCUUCCUCGAGCCUUAUAGCCUUUAAUAUUUUGCAAUGACAUCUUUCGUGCAAAUCGUCCAUGAAACGUAAGGUGCAAUUUCAUGCACAGACUUGCGAGACUCAUACAAUGUACCUCUACAAUGUUAUAGUCAAGCAUAUCUCGGAUUGGAAGAGCUGGUAUUUACAUAAUACCCCAAAGUACAAGCGUUAAUUCUAAAACCUACCUGGAUAUUUUUAAACAUUUUCCAUCUUAUAUAAUCAUCCAUAAUUACACGGUAUUCCAAGAGAAUACCCCGUCUCGUUAUUCUGUAAAUUGCAUGUGAGAUAGGCAAUGACAAAUGAUUGUACCGUUCUAGGAAAAUGAACAUUAUCAACACCCUUUUUCAAAUGAAAAGGGAAUGAAAAAGUUAACUUGAAACUGUAUUAGAUUAGAAAAACGGUGUGGAUAAAAUCUGUAAUGUACAUACAAACAUGUAGCGGUACGAGUUGUACUAUUUUGUAUUAAAGUAACUUGUUUAUUGAAAACAUAGAGCACAGUUAGGUUGCUGACGGCAGAUAGUCAGACUCAGUGUUUCAACCUCCUUUUCUCUCCUCAGUGAUGAAACUACCCGUCUGUCUGGACAUUCUGAGUUAAGCCAACAAAUAUUCGUUCCGAUAUAGAAAUUGGUAAGAGUAUUAUAGAAAUCAGAAAUAUUAAAUUCCUAAAUGUCUCAAAGAGACAUGAGCGGUGGUGGAGGGAUAGAGUGGUUGUAUACUGUCAACUUAACGUGAUAGUCCCGUAUGGGAAUUACAGCACCGCUGUUUAACCCUAGGAAGCAUCGAACGCUUCCUGUCGGUUUUGACACGUCACGUUAAGUUGACAGUAUACAACCACUCUAUUAUAGAAAUGUUUGAAUUGAAUUCUAUACCUAAAUCAAUUCUAAAAUUAAAUACGACAAUUACUGAAUUGUUAAUAACCAACUGACCAUUUACAAUAGUUUUCUUUGUCACUGUCGUUAUGCGUUGUUUAUAUACAUACAUACAUAUAUAUAUAUAUAUAUAUAUAUAUAUAUAUAUAUAUAUAUAUAUAUAUAUACGCAUAUAUAUAAUAUGUAUAUACAUAUGCAUAUACAUACUUGAAUCUAUAUAUUGUGACAUAUACAUGCAAGCAUAUAUAUUUAUAUAUAUAUAUAUGUACAAACAUAUGUAUAUGCAUAGAUAUAUAUAUACAGAGAUAUAUAUGCAUAUAUAUAUACAUAUAUAUAUAUACAUAUAUAUACAUAUAUAUAUAUAUAUAUACAUACAUAUAUAUACAUAUAUAUGUACAUACAUAUAUAUAUGCAUAUAUAUACAUACAUAUAUAUAUAUACAUAUGUAUAUACAUAUAUACAUAUAUACAUGCAUGCAUAUAUAUAUACAUACAUAUAUAUGCAUAAAUAUAUUUCUAAGUAUCAGGAAGGAGUCUAUAGGUAGAAAUCAUGAUUCUAUCUUCAGUCUCUUAGAUUCUAAUUUCUGUCCAAAAUAGGUGACAUAGUAUUCCUUCCACGUACCAAGGUAUAUCGACAUGUUUUAUAACCAGCGAAGCAUUAAUACCAUAUUUUGACGAUAUAAUGAAUUAUAAUUUGACCCCCCAGUACUCAACCAUUACUGUAAUAUAUCGCUUCCGAAAGAGGAAAGGACAAAGUUCACACACGACGGAAUUGAACCCAUAAUGUAAAGUAGUAGUAGUAGUAGUAGUAGUAGUAGUAGUAGUAGUAGUAGUAGUAGUAGUAGUAGUAGUAGUAGUAGUAGUAGUAGUAGUAGUAGUAGUAGUAGUAGUAGUAGUAACAACUUUAAAAAUAUCAAGCUGUUUGAAUGCUGAAUUUGUAUAUUGAGAUUAGGCAGUGAAAAGUGGUCAAGGAGAUAAACAAGUGAAUGAGUCUGCUUUCGAUCUAUUGAAAAUCGACUUUAAUGGUUUCGUAUGUUUAGGUUUGUAUUGUAAGAAAUGAAAGAAAAUACUCAAUAAUUAGGAAAUUCAAAAAACGGAAGUAUUCGAUGAAUAAAAUAUUUCUGGUUUGUAAUGUCUUCAACAUCGUAUCCCUGCAAUAUAUCUUAAAUUUGUUUAUUUUUUUGUGAUAUCAUUUGUCUCUUACUUGUUUUGGUCUCCAGACUGCGACCAUGCUGGUGCACCUUCUUAAAGGAUGUAGUUGAACAAAUAGCCCCAUGAUUUAUUUUUGAGCCUGGUACUUAUUCCAUCAACCUCCUGUUGCCAAACAAACCAACACCUGUUGUCAAGCAGUGCUGGGGACAAAGACACAUACACACAUAUGCGCGCGCACACGCACACAUACACACACACACAUAUAUAUAUAUGUAUAUAUGUAUAUAUAUAUAUAUACAUACAUACACACACACACAUAUAUAUGUGUGUGUGUGUGUGUGUGUGUGUGUGUGUGUGUGUGUGUGUGUGUGGAGGUGCAACGGCCCAGUGGUUAGGGCAGCGGACUCGCAGUCAUAGGAUCGCGGUUUCGAUUCCCAGACCGGGCGUUGUGAGUGUUUAUUGAGCGAAAACACCUAAAGCUCCACGAGGCUCCGUCAGGGGGUGGUGGCGAUCCCUGCUGUACUCUUUCGCCACAACUUUUUCUCACUCAUUCUGUGUUGGCCUGCUCGCUUAGCCAGCGGGGUGGCGUCAUUUGAAGGCUAAAACAAUGCGAAGCGCAUUGUGACCACCGAUGUACACCAACAUCUGAUAGCCUGGUCGGUCACGGUGAUCACGGUGAUAUAUAUAUAUAUAUAUAUAUAUAUAUAUAUAUAUUGUCAGGCUUCUUUCAGUUCCUGUCUACCAAAUUGGUCGAACUGGAGUUAUAGUAGAAGAUAUAUGCUGAAGGUGCUUUACAGUGGGACUGAAUCCAAGAUCACAUUGUCGGAAAGGAAGCUUGUUACCACUCAGCCACGUCUGCGCCCAGACUUGUAGACAUCUUACUUGUUUCAUUUAAAAUAUUUAUCAAAUACCAAGUUUACGGGAAAGGAUAAAGAAUCCAUUGUAAAACAAUACGUAGAGAAAUAUUCUUUUCUACUCAAGGCACAAAGCCCGAAAUUUUGGAAGAGGGGGCCAUUCGAUUAUAUCGACCCCAGUACGCAACUGGUACUUAAUUUAUCGAUCCUGAAAGGAUGAAAGGCAAACUCGACCUCAGCGGAAUUUGAACUCAGAAUGUAAAAACAGACGAAAUACCUAUUUCUUUACUACCCACAAGGGGCUAAACACAGAAGGGAGAAAUAAAGAUAGACAAACGGAUUGAGUCGAUUAUAUCGACCUCCAGUGUGUAACUGGUACUUAUUUAAUCGACCUCAAAAGGAUGAAAGGCAAAGUCGACCUCGGCGGAAUUUGAACUCAGAACGUAGCGGCAGACGAAAUACGGCUACGCAUUUCGCCCGGCGUGCUAACGUUUCUGCCAGCUCGCCGCCUUAACGUAGAGAAAUAUUGAAUACAAAAUACAGACAAUGGGCGAGCUGUACUUAGAAAACCGUUCUACAUACAAAAUUAGGAGCAAGCUUGGGUGUGUGGUGAGACUGGCGCACUCAUGACUGUGUGGUAAGAAGUUUGGUUCUUAACUAUGUGACUCCGAGUUCAAUUCCUUUGCGUGACACCUUGAAUAAGUGUUUUCUUCUUUAACCUCAGUCCAACCAAAGCUAUAUGGGUGGAUUUGGUAAAAGGAAACUGAAAGAAGCUCAUCACGUAUGCAAACAAUGUGUGUGCCUUUGUGUCUGUGUCCUCUACCACCGUUUCAUAACCGUUUCUUCAUGUAUUUAUGUCUCCUGUAACUUAGUGGUUCAGCAAAAGAGACCGAUAGAAUAAGUAUCAAGCUUUAAAGAAUAAGUGCACUUUUCUAAACAAAAAUAAGGUGUUUGCAGCAUAUUAGGAGGUCAGGGUACUUGAUUCCAUGCAAAAAAUCCGAGUUUUUUUUCUUUGUGAAAAUCGUGUGUGUGAAAAGGUCAAUGAGAGCGGUGUGAAAUUUCCGAGGCGUCUACCUCACCCCAUCCCGUUUUCCGAACCCAAAAAGGGUUUUGUAGCAUAUUAGGAGGUGACCGGAAUUCAUUCAACGAUAAAAAAAGAAAAUUUCUAAUAUUUCCAGGAUAUGGGGGGGCGAUUUCCCACCCCACCCCCUUUUUCUGAAGAAACAUAAGGAGUUUGCAGCAUAUUAGUAGGUCAGGGUACUUGAUUCCACGCAAAAAAUUUGAGUUUUUUUUUCUUAGUGAAAAUCGUGCGAGGAACCGUAAACUAAAUAUAACUCUGUGCAUCUUGAUCUAGUACAUAUAUAUUUCAUUAUAAUUUCUUUCAACCCUUUUAUAUCCUUUUAAUAUACCUUGCCGUUCCUAUCUAAAUAGGUUUUCAUUACACUACCUAGUUCCUUGAUUGAAAAUGAUAUCAUAUUACACAUUUAGCCAGUCCUUUAAGUACAUUUUAUUCCAUCAUAAUUCCGAUCUUUUUUGGACGUUUGGAUGGGAGGAUAAAUUAUUUAACCUCCCGUCCCAUUUCAUUGAAACAGUUUACAUAAUUAUUUAAUAUAUAUUUUGGUUUACUUAGCAAUCGUCUUUAGAUUACACAGUACACAAUCAUCAUUAGUGCUGCCUAUUUUAUCACCCUUUUUUCAUUAACACAAUAUCAUUUUAUCAUUCGAUUCAACUUAUCAUUAUCACUUCUUAAGCUAAUACGAUUUAUGCUCCUUACGUCAUAGGAAUUCAUCUGUUUAUACAACCAAACAAUUUUUUAAUGUUAUGUUUAUUUACAUGUGUCUUUAUUUACAAUUAUUUAUAUUUUAUAUUCACCUGUAUCAUUUUAUUUGCUAACUCAAAGUUUUUCCUAAGACACAGCUUUAAUAUAAAUUAUUCCUAUUCAAUUCCCUGUCACAUCAUAUUCUUCUGUCGUUAUUUUACAGAAACCAAUUAAUACCAUUUAUCUUCGUUUAACUCAGCAUUAUUCAUAUAAUCACAGCCCUUCCUUAUUUGUUUCUUUUCUUUCAUUUAAUGCCCUCUAAUUUCGCUUCGAUAUUUUACUCACUCUUUACGCAUCUAUAUCUUUUUUCAUUUCUUACUGAUUUCCUCUGUAAUUAACGACUUCCGUUAGAAAAUAGUUAUCCAUUUUCAAGAAUAUUUUUCCAAACUUCAAUCUCUGAUUUUUCAUAUUUACUUUAACAUCUGUACCAUCAUAUCUUCUUUCAGUUACUAUUUGGAUCUUAUCAUAAAGGCUGAGCGGUUUUGUAACAUAUGGUCCGCCCAUUGUCACAAUUUCGUAUACUACAUUUUCAAAUGGAUAAAUUUUUUCUUGCUUUUAUUUUGUAAGUACAUUAAUUUCUUCCAUAUCUUUGAUCUGUGAAAGUUGUUUUGCUUAAAUGAAGCAAAUAAUAUUUGCUCAAGAGUUUAUUGUAGUAAAUUAAUGAUACAAAUCUAUAUUCUAACAAUUACAAAUACCGUGUUUCAGUUGGCAGAUAAAGCAUCCCCGAUCUGAUAACUGACACAUGCUUGACUAUGUCAUAACUGGGAGCAAAGAUUGCAAUGAUUAACCAGUGCUCACAAAACUUCUGAGUGUUAUUUGGAUCACAGAAUGGUUCGUAGUAAUAUAUUUGCUGACCUGACCACUGAUAUCCAGUAUAACUCCGAGAAUAAACGUCUUCUUUAAAAAAAUCUAGAAACGAGAAAAGCUUUGAAAUACAUGUAAAUUCAAAGCUUGUGAAUAUAGAGGAAAGCAAAGAUCCUGACGUUUUGUAGCGUAAUAUUCAUGACAGCAUCAAAUCAUCUGCGGAAGAGGUUCGUCAAACGCAAGCAUCAAGAUUGACUCGAUGAGAACGAUUCUCAAAAUAAACUUCUCCUAGAAACUAUACUCAAAAGACACAAGGCAUGGAUCUCAAAAAAAAUCACCAUCACUCAGAUCCCUAUAUAUCUCCUCUGAGAAAACUACUCAGAUAAAUGGUGUAAGAUGAAAACUUCUUGGUGGGCAAAAACAUCCCAAGAAUUGGAACAGUUUGCUAACUCUCACAAUUUGAGAGCAUUGUAUGACAAUCUGAAAAGUGUAUAAGGUUUUUAAAAGGAUGGUACUGAAUCAAUUCUUUCUAAAGACGGGUCAAAAGUCUUAAGUAGCAACGAUGAAAUUCUGAAAAAUGGGCUGGGCACUAUAGAUCCGUAUCAAAUUAAGAAUCCACUACCGAUCCUAAAGUAAUCAGUAAAAACCUUCAGAGGCCUAUAAUUAAGGAACUUGCGGAAGAUUCCUCCUUGGAAGAGAUACGUAUUGCAUUUAAAAAUCUUUCCAAUGGUAAAGCUCCUGGACAACACUGUAUUCCCAUAGAAGUGUACAAGCAUGGUGGCAGACAAUUUGUAAGGAAGCUGCACAAAUUGAUCUGCUUGAUCUGGGAUGCGUCUAUAGUGCACUUGUGCAAAAACAAGGGCAAGAAGAGUGUAUGUGAUAAUCACAAAAGAAUAAUUUUUCAUAUGCAUAGCUGGAAAAAUUCUUGCCAGGGUUAUACUUAACUGCAUCAAUAUGCAUGUAGUAAACAGCAUAUAUGCUGAAACCCAAUGUGAAUAUCGGGCUGGGAGAGGCACAGUUGACAUGACUUUUACCCUUCGGCAAGUUCGAGUAAAAGUACAUCAGCAAAACAUUAACUUGUACAUGGUCUUUGUCGACUUGAUCAAGGUCUUUGGUACAGUGAAGCAUGAGGCGUUCUGGAAAAUUUUGUCAAAAGUUGGUCUUCCUCAUCAAAGAAUAAGGGCAAUAGUAUCUGAACAAAAGAACGAUGGCAACAACGAUAUCUAGCAGUCAAUAUUCAGCGGCAUUUUCUGUUGCCACUGAAUCCAAAUAGGGUUAUGUUUUAGUACUUUUUCCAUGUCUUUUUCAGUAAUACUCAAACAUGUUUUCAGGGAUUAUCAUGAAGGUGUAAAAUUCCAGUUUCGCGCAGAAGGAUGUCUACUAAGACCUAAAAGGGCAAAGUUUCGGAUCAAAGAAAAAAACCAAGAAAGAGCUUCUACGUGAUUUUCUGUUUGCUGAUGAUUGAAUUUUGAUUUCUCAUACAUUUGAGAGAAUUCAGGAAGCAGUCGACAGCUUUGCUACAGCAGUCUGUGCAACUGGACUGACUGUCAGCAUCAAGAAACUGAGUUUUAUUUCAACCAAAGCCUGAGGCAGAACAUAUUCAAGAUUCAAAUGUGAUGAUUGACAACAAGCCACUGAAAUUGGUCCGGUCAUUUAAAUAUCUUGGCAGUACAGUAAACUUUAAGAAUUCUCUUUAAGACGAAAUCAAUCUUAGAAUAUCUAAUGCCAGAAAUGAUUUUGGUAAAAAUUGCCCAUCGUUUGUGGGACAAACACGGUGUCAGUCUGAAAAAUAAAAUAAGCAUAUACAAACCUUAUAUGUUGAGUACAUUCUUGUAUGAGGAAGAAGCAUGUACUCCCUACAACAGGCACAAAGAAAUUUGAAACCUAUCACAUAUGCGAUCUGUGCAAUAUCUGCAACAUAAAAUGGCAAGAUAACAUAUCAAAUGUCAGAAUCUUAUAAAAUGUAAUAUCUCCAGUAUCAAAAGCACGUUGCUGAGAAUUCAGUGCAGAUAAGUAGGACAUGUUGUUCGAAUGAACGAUGACUGCAUUGCGAAAAUUCUUUUGUAUAGGGAUACCGCGGAAAAGGAAAACUCUCACCUUAGGUAUAAGGGUAAGUUGAAGUGAUCACUAAAGUCUCUACAGCUUAAUUCGGGUAAGUCAUUGCCUAGAUCAGUGAUCCACCACCACCGUCAUCAUUAUCACCAUUAUUAUUAUUAUUAUUAUUAUUAUUAUUAUUAUUAUUAUUAUUAUUAUUAUUAUUAUUAUUAUUAUUAUUAUAUGAAAACUCACAGCUCAUUUUGCUGGGUAUGAUGCAAAGUGUCAGCUGUCCACAGACAGAAGACUAAGGUGACACUUGUUAACUGGUCAUGUUUCAAGAACCCUGCGAAGAAUUAUUGCAGUUCCAAGCAAUGCUGAUUUUUGUAAGUGGUCUAGCUUUACAUUUGUACCACUCCUUUUGAGCCCAGCUGGUAGUUAAGUGCUGAUGCUUCCAAGCGCACCAAUUACUAUUGGUACCACAUCUACUCUCCUCAUUGACCACAACCUUCGUAUUUCCCACUUCAAAUCGUCAUAGUUGUUCAGUUUUUCUUCGUUCUCCUUAAACCCUGAAACUCCCGAACAUGAGCCCCACCUCACCCAACGGACGCAGCUUAAAAUCAUACCCAGGACAUAGCUGUUGUUACAAAGUCCUUCUCGGAAAGAAAUGCACUGAUAUAAAACCCGUUGUUUAACGUAAUUACUGGUUAUCACUCUUAGGCCUGUCAGUAGCUACUAAUCACCGAAACCCAGAGAGUGGUAUUUAUGUUGUACAAGCAUUUAUCAAUGAUGUACAGAUGCCUCUUUGUGAUGACACUACUACCGUUAACGAAAAACGUUAAAUAAUGUGAAAAACCUAGAAAACACUCAAAAGAUGAGAUGACCACAACUGUAACAGCCUUAAAAUAUAUUAUAUUGGAAGUGAAAAUAACUUUCAAUUUUAAAAUUAGUAUUUAUUUCUGGGAAGUUGAGUAGUUAUUUAUGUUUAACUCUAAAAAGUUCAAUUAUCACAUGGUUGACCUUCCCCAUUAUGUCAUUCUUCUACAUUUUUCUCUAGCAGAUCCAGCCAAUGCUGGACCUGCUAGAAAUAACAAACAAAUUUCCCACAAAUCACAACCAACUGCCUUUAAAAAUGUAAGCACGUAUUGGAUGAUGUAAUUUUGUAUGUACUACAUCUGAAGGGAAUGGUGGGAUUUCUAUUGAAACGCCUCUGAACAUACUUCAACUCGAUCAGAGCUGUUUUUAGUUAAACAAUAGCACGAAAAGUUAUCUGAUAUUCUAACAAAACAUAACUAUUAACUCUUCAACCAAAUUUGUGUAACCAUGUUUUUGCUUGUCGCCACCAUGAUAACAUCAUCUUUAUAAGUAGAUGCUUGUUCUGUGUAGUCAGACCUUGAAUCUCACAAGCUGUAUGAGUCAUAUCAAGGUUCACUCUUCUUUCUCUUUAUCUGUACGUGAUAAAAAAACAUACUAACUGUACAAUAACACGGUAAAAUUUUUGAAAUGCGAUAAUAAAUGCCAUUCAAAUACAUUCAACUAUGAUCGGAAAAUGAAGAUUUUCAGGUUUUGUCUCAAACUAGGAAGUUAUUUUUAAGUUGAUUUUUUUCCCCUUUCAACUGAAACUUUCAUAGACGUCUUCUUUAUUUAUUCCAGUCAAGAUGUUCAUAUAUUAUUAUUCAUUUCUUUUUACAACAGUCACACCAACUAUUUCAAGACAAAACAGGAAGCAAGAGUACUUGAACAGACAUAGAAGAACAGGAUGCUUCCACUUUCUUCUCUAUUUACAAUUGAAACGAACAAACCACCAUUUGUAAUCAGCCUGGUGAAAUUAUUUCACCAAAUAACACAUUAUUCAGAAUAUAGAGUUGCAAAACUGUUUCCCGUUAACAGUUUCAUGUGAAGAAAGAAAAUAAGUGAACGCCCCAUAGAAUAUUCACUAAUUAAUUAAAAUACUUAGUGUGAAACAUUCAUGUGCGUAUCGUUGUGCGGUUUUAGGGGUAAGAACAUAAAAUAAUUUUUCAGCUGGCUGAGUCACUAGCGUAUCAGGCGACUGAGUGAAGUUUUAAGAGUCUUUUUUUACUUAAUUCCUGGCAAAGAUUAGCGUAUCUAGAUAUCAUGUAGAGUUACUGUUUAAACCGUAAAGAUCGAGUUCGCAUAUGAUAGAUGCAGGUUUGCUUAGUUUAUUUUGGUCAGUGGAUAUUGUAUCGUGGGAAACAUUUGCGACAUCUAGAUUCAAAAGAAUCGCUCAAUAUUGCUCAAUAUCACUCAGAAAGUAUCACUACACCGUGAUAGAUUCCGCGUAAAGAUCAAUAUAUUCCUAGCAUAGAUAAAUGAGUGAGUGCGCGUACAUUUCUAUAUAUCUACAUGUUUAUAUAUAUACAAAUAUAUAUAUAUGUGUGUGUGUGUGUGUGUGUGUGUGUGUGUGUGUGUGUGUGUGUGUGUGUGUGUGUGUGUGUGUGUGUGUGUGUGUGUGUGUGUGUGUGUGUGUGUGUGUGUGUGUGUGUGUGUGUGUGUGUGUGUGUGUGUGUGUGUGUGUGUGUGUGUGUGUACGUAUGUACAUGUAUCCUGUUUUAUUUUUUACUUGUUUCAGUUAUUAGACUGCAGCCAUGUUGGGGCACCGCCUUGGUGAAAAACAAAAGCUGCUUCUCAAGCGAGUGAGAGCAUGGAUUCCUAACCACUAGAAUUCUUUGGUAUUAUAUAUGAUAUAUAUAUAUAUAUAUAUAUAUAUAUAUAUAUAUAAUACUAAAGAAUUCUAGUGCUUAGGGAUCCAUGCUCUCACUCGCUUGGGAAACAGCUUUUGUUAUAUAUAUAUAUAUAUAUAUAUAUAUAUAUAUAUAUAUAUAUAUGUAUGUAUAUAUAUAUAUGUAUGUAUGUAUGUAUGUAUGUAUGUAUGUAUGUAUGUAUGUAUGUAUGUAUGUGUGUAUAUGUGUAUGCACAACAGUAUCCCCUUUUUCAGGCUGGAGUAAGAAUGUGCGCCUGUGUACAUAAACUGAAAAUCUAAACUCGAAAAUAGUAAAAGGAUUUCCAUUCUGUUUCAAGAAGUCUUACCUCACGAUUUAAAUUUGUAAUAAACAGCUACUUCCAUGUUAAAAUGUCUCUCAUUUCCACAUACUAAAACGUCAAUUUUCUAUUGGAACCGUACAGCUUUAUAAUAAUGUUUUUUUAAAUGUACAACUCAACUGAAGAGGCACAAUGACAGGACCCAUCUUCAGAUUAUUCACAUUAUUAUUAAAUACAGAGGAAAGGCAAUGAGCUGGCAGAAUCGUUAGCAUGCCGGACAAAAUGUCUAGCAGCAUUUCGUCCGUCUUCUCGUUCUGAGUUCAAAUUCCGCCGAGGUCGACUUUGCCUUUCAUCCUUUCGAGGUCGAUAAGAUAAGUAGCAGUUGAACGAUGGGGUCGAUGUAAAUUUUAGGCCUUGUGCGUAUAGCAGGAAGGAUUAUUAAAUACAAAGAAAUGAAAUUGUUUACUCACUUGUCUCUCCUUUCGCCCGUCAGGCUUCAAACCUGAAAUCUGAAUUAUACACACAUGCAUGCAUAAAUACGCCCAGCGGAUAUUAGCUUUAGCUAAAGAUCGGCGAAAAAGAAAAUACCUACGCUGAACUACUGAGGAAUCUACAGUUGCUCUGUCCAGGUUAUAAGUUCAGGUUCAUACCUGUAAUGUAUAUGUGCAGAUUGGUAUGUUUUGUUUAUGUAUGUAUUUUCAUGCAUACAGCUGCAUGUCUAGACAUAUUCAAAUAUACUUAAAGUAUAAAAUUCUGGAAAGUUUUACAGAUUUUUAUAUUUCUAGUGAUGACUUGAAUCUGUAGUCUUCGAAUCAGCUUUCUCCUUACUGGUUUUGAGAAGCCUAAUUUCUCAAGAGUGGUAUUUAGGCAGUGUGUUACAUAUCUCAGUGUCCCAAUAAUACAUACAUACAUACAAAAAUACCCUGUUGAUGAUGUUAAAAUUCCCAUCAGGGAGACCUGGAUUUAGUUUAGAAACCGGUUCUUUCUCUAUUAGCUAGAAAUGUUGAAAUAAACUGAAGAAUGACAUACAUAUAUACAUACAUACAUACAUACAUACAUACAUACAUACAUACAUACAUGCAUGCAUACAUACAUACAUACAUACAUACAUACAUACAAGGUUUGAGACGAACGUGAGAAGGCCAAAUUCAAAUGACGUAAAAAUGUGUGUGUGUAUGUAUGUACAUAUAUAUAUGUAUGUACUUAUUUAUGCAUAUACUUAUGGGUAUCGUGGAAAAUUCAUGGAUCAGAAAUUGCUUUGUGGUUCAUUUUAUUGUUAAUUUAACUUGUAGAACACUGUAUUAAUUGUAUAAAAACGUGUCCGUCUGUAUCAUUUAAUAUAACGUAUGAACAAAUAUUUGUCUACCACUUUACAAUUUAUUUAUGAGCAGCUAACCUUAUGUACGUUUCCACUCAAUAUCAAUGAAACACAUUGACAAAAUACAAAUUAUACAUAGAUAAUUAAACUUAUAUACGUUUCUACUCCGCAUUCGGCUAGCUAAACAAUCUGGCAGGGUAGAUAUAGUAAAAGUAUCACAGAUUAGGUAACUAAAAUGUAUCUCACUAUUUCCAUGUAAUUCAAACAUAUCUAACUAUAAUAGCUGCUAGAUUUCUAGAUACCUAAAUGUACAUAUCAUAGGGACCAUGAAACAAAUGAUUGACACAUGCUGCUAAUAUGUAUGUAUGUAUGUAUGUAUGUAUGUAUGUAUGUAUGUAUGUAUGUAUGUAUGUAUGUAUGUAUGUAUGUAUGUAUGUAUGUAUGUAUGUAUGUAUGUAUGUAUGUAUGUAUGCAUGUAUGUAUUUAAAUAUACAUACAUACAGUUUCCCUUGCUUGUCCAUACAACCCUGAGCCCAAAUAUGGUCUUGUGAUCUGAAAAGGCCACGAAAAUGAUCGUAAUUGAACUAGCAAUCCCGUGGGAAGAGGGGUUUGAUGAGGUCUAUGAACGGAAGCAUGCCAGAUAUGAGAGUCUUUUGAAGGAUUGCAGGGAGAAGGGACGGCAGGUAUGGUUUUUCCCGGCCGAGGUUGGCUGUAGAGGAUUCCCUGCUCAGCUGGCAUGGAAGAUGCUUACAGCAAUUUGAAUAAGAGGUAAGGAGCGAAGGGUAGCUGUACGCAAGAUGGAAGAAGCAGCUGAAAGACCCUUUUGUUGGCUUUGGUGUAAGAGAGAAGAGUUAAGCUGCAGGCCAGGAGGAGAUGAGAAACAGUGUCUUGGCCAUCUCUGCUGAUCCACUAGCGGGAGGGUGUUACGGUUCAGGGUCAAAACACCCGAUGAACGUUGGAUACUGUCUGACGACAUCAGUUCUUCCUGGCCAAGGCUCCAUUCACUUUGGUGAAUAGAUAAAGCACAUCCUUAUAGGUGUUAUUAACACACGCACACAUAUGUAUGUAUGUAUAUAUGUAUGUAUAUAUGUAUGUAUGUAUGUAUGUAUGUAUGUAUGUAUGAAUGUAUGUAUGUAUGUAUGUAUGGUUAUUGAAAGACGGAAGAUGGAAUAUACGAGAAUUUUUAUUAAUCACAAUUGUUUCGAUACAUCUAGCAUCGAUCUCUCACAGGUGGGACACUUAACAACUGGUUUAGGAGCAUCCGGCAGUGCAAAUGUGUGUCAUCAAGUGAUAAAUAGAUACAACUCGUUAAAAUAAUAGUUCCGCGAUGUAUCUUCUCAUUUCAAAGAAAGAAAAGCAGCAAAAGGAAGGAAUAUCUUUGUUUAUAUAGAUCAAUAAAUAAAAUCACAGAUGCAAAAAGGAAGCGAACACGCAAUACAGCGAGAAAAGUAUCAAAAAUAACCGUUAAUAGAUAUGGAUGUAUAAACGCCUUCUCACAAGUUACAUGGUGCAUGCACACUCGCUCAUACAAGCAUCUACGAAAAUGUAAGUAUACAUGUAUGUAUGUAUGUAUGUAUGUAUGUAUGUAUGUAUGUAUGUAUGUAUGUAUGUAUGUAUGUAUUAUAUAUGAGUGUAUAUGUGUGUAUUAUGUAAGUGAGAAAAAAGAGUAAACGUGCAGAAUAUAUCUAGACAUUAUAAAUACCAUUUAUCUAAACAACUAUACUUGAACAACUAUAAAAUUUUAUUCACAUUUCGCCCAUUAGGUACGAACAAAAUCGGAAUUAGAUAUUUUACAAUUUUAAUCAUACAUCUUAACUAAACAAAAUAUUCCCCUAAAGCUCAUUUGUCCUCAUAAAAGGUGGAGUGAGGCCAUGAAUAAUACCCUAGUACUCUUAUGCGUAGAUUAAACACUUAUUCUAGUUAUGUGCAAUGGUAUAGUUGAACUCAAGUGCUACAAGCCAAAAAUAUCAUUUAUCAAUUUUAUUGCUAUACCGCUGGUUACAGUAGUAAACCAUAAGAAUAUUUAUUAGUAAUUAAAACUAGGUUAACUUAACCAUUGAGAAGUGUUUCUGCCAAGGACAAGUUGAUUCAAGGACAAGUUGAUCACUUCUAAAAGAAACAAACUUAAAUCUCUACUGUACGUCUAGUAAACUGUGAUUUCAGCUGACUGGUACACAACAAUACUGGAUGUUAAUAUUGGUUUCAAAUUUGAGCACAAGACCAUAAAUUUAAAGGGGUGGAGGUAAGUCGAUUAUAUUGACCCCAGUGCUCAACUGAUACUUAUUUCAUCAACCCCGAAAGGAUGAAAGGCAAAGUCAGCCUCGGUAGAAUUUGAACUCAAAACGUAAACACGGACAAAAUAUCGUUAAGCCUUUUGCACGGCGCGGUAUCGAUUCUGCUAGCUCGCCGUCUUUUUCAGUGUUGAUAUUGAUUUGUAACAAAAAAGGAAAAACAAAGUUGACCUUCGAUGGAUUCUUGAUCGAAAUGUAAAUUCAGCAAGAGCAAGGCAUAAUGUCCAACGUUCGAAUAAUACUAAUAUUUCUUAAAAAUUAAUUUUGUUUCGAAGUUACUUCUGGUAGAGUCCGGUGUAACUCUAUGUGUUAAAUUUGUAAAAUUAGCUGUCAUUAAAUAACCAGAGUAGACAGCAGACGUAAAAUAGAAUAAAUUGUUAACAAAAGACUUUAACAUUAUAAGACAAUGUACAGUAGAUCUCUCGUGUUAAAACAUUAGGAAAAAUAUUUAGAUCAUAAUACCCAGUUCUUAUACACAUUCACGAGUUACAAAACUAACAAACAUGGGAAAACAAAGAGUUUAUUUUUUGCGUGAUAUAUGGCCACACAGCCUCUCUGUCUGUCUGUCUGUCUGUCUCUCUCUCUCUCUCUCUCCUUUUCUCUCGCUGCACCAGUUACUUUGAAACGUUCUAGUUUUUUUUUUUUUUUUUUUUGCAACUUUAAAAGAAAAUUCUUCUGUGGAAGACGUUUCUCUUCAGAUGAUUUGCCACUUUUUAUUUCAUUCGGCUUUUCUUCAGAAGACAACUUAGAAAAGAAAGAUUCACAGUUCGUAUUUCAACAAGUUUUGAAUAAUGGAAUAAAAGAUUCCUGAAAAUUAGUUCAAUCAACAAAGCAAACGACGUAAUCGGUGAGCAUAAAUAACUGACAUAUCAGAAGCCUUAAAGAAUGACAACAUUUUUUUCUAAAUACGUACAGUGUACUUUAUUUUAUCGAAUGCGAAAAGGCGGAAAGGCAAAGAUGACCCAGCAGAAUUUGAAUACAGAACGCAAAGAACCGAAACGCAUAUAGCAAUGCACUUUUGUUCAACGCUUAAAUAUGUUCAAAACAUAUUUGUACUCUUGCAGUGUAGCGAAGCUUAUAUUUUAGUAGAAGUUUUUUUUUUUUUCUGGAAUGAUUUCAUUGUAUACGCAUCUGGAAUAUUUUGUAGAAAUUUGCUGUGCUAUUAUUGUAUGAGUUAAUUGUAAAUGUCGUUGCCUAACUUGUACAACUACUUUGUCUACGUGAUAAUUUGUUGCUAAUCUGAAACUUACUAUCAGAGAUACUAUCUCAAGGACUUCCUCUUGUCACAUGAUAGACAGUCGAAAUACUUUUAGAUAAAGAUACCAACUUGGGAUCGCCCAUUUAAUGAAAGAAUUAUAAUGUUGCUUUCAAAAAGGUUGCAUUGAAGCAGUUGUGUUCUGUAGAAGUAAAUUGUGGACAAGAACAGAAAUAUUAAUAGAAGAAAUGAAUGCUUAUUGCUAAAGCACAAACUUUCUCAGCUAAUAGCAUUUCAGUCCAUUAAAAUUCAUUUUGACUCUACAUGCUUUGUAAAGAUUAUAUACAAUAUAUAUAUAUAUAUAUAUAUAUAUAUAUAUAUAUAUAUAUAUAUACUUGUAUAUGUGUGUGUAUGUGUGUGUGUGUGUGUGUGUGUGUGUGUGCGUGUGUGGAGGCGCAAUGGCCCAGUGGUUAGGGCAGCGGACUCACGGUUGUAGGAUCGCGGUUUCGAUUCCCAGACCGGGCGUUGUGAGUGUGUGUAAUACUGGCUAGUGUUUUGAUCACAAAAAUAAAGGUAUGCAGCCUUGGGGUAUAUUUACGAGAGGGAUAUAUGAUGAUCUGUCCGUUGCAAUACUAGAUUUAAAACUAAGACGGUGACCUCGCAGAAUCGUUAGAUUGCCAGGCAAAAUGCCUAACAAAAUUUCGUCCGUUUUAAAUUCUACCGAGGUCGACUUUGCUUUCAUCCCCUCGGGGCCGCGGACGAUGUAAUCGACUCACCCCUCCCCCGAAAUUGUUGGCCUUGUGCCAAAAUUUAAAACCAAUAUUAGAUUUAAAACUAUAAUUUCCCGAAGAGCCAUAAAUUUUACCAGCUGCUCAUUAAGAGUAGUACAAAGGUGAGCUAUAGCUACAAUUACCAUUUAUCUUACAUUUGGUGAGUUAGUUUUGACAUUCUUGAGAAAAUAUUUCACCUGCAGACACUUACCUAAAUUAAGCGCAUUCAUCAGCGGGCUGAGUGAGUACAGCCGACUAUAAGAUUGAUUAAAUAAGACAUUUAUUAUCUUGUGUAUAAACACAUAAAAUAGAUACUUGAUGAUUCAAAGUGCAUUGAGCAUUUCUAUGAUAAUUAUGGUAUAUCAAACAAAUACAAUAUAUUUAUAAGUAUAUGUGUGUGUAUGUACGAAUGCGUGUGUAUGUGUGUACGUCCAUAUGUAAGGGAGAGAUAUGGAUAAAAUACUAGCAUCCAUUCAGUAAUAUAUAUCCUACCACCUAUUGCAUAUACUGAGUAAUUUAGUCUGUUUUUCUCCCUUUCUCUUCCUGUCUUCUUUUUAAUGAAUUCAUACAUAUACACGUAUGUAUUGUGUGCACACGCCGCCUGUGUACAUUUGUGUGUGUGUGUGUGAAGCAUGCUUAAAGAAUGCUGUACUUGAUUGACCACACAAACAAUAUAAUAGCAAACUAAACUAAAGGAAUUAAUAAAUCGUCAUCUACGUUUUGGUAGUCCGUAGUUAACACAGACAACUAGGGGUGGGUUUCACUAAAGAUUGGAAGCAUUUUUUUCAAGAGCAGUGGGAAAAGCACAUGUAGAUACGAACUUGUGAGGUGCAUGUGUGCCAAAAGAAAUGCGAAUCGUUAUUUCACAAAUUCAUAGAUUUGUAACUUAUAUGCAACAUUUGUUUCGGCACUGAAACCAUUUUUUCUUUUGUGGGUUGGGUGAAUUGGCAGAAUGAUUAAAGUAUCAGACAAAAUGCCUUUUGGUACUUGUUCUAGCUUUCUUUCCUCUCUCAGUUAAAAUAUCACAAAGGUCAACUUUACUUUCAUCUCUUCAGGAUCAUUAAAAUAAAGUACCAAUCAAUAGGGAGGGACUAGCGGAACGCAAAGAGCCGUCAGAAAUAGCAAAAGUUAAAUAAUGCUUCGAGGAAUCUCUUGCAGCUCUCCACCUUCUAAAUUCCUGAACCAAUUACUUGAUUUACCCCCUGUUUAAUAUCACCAUCUAGUUCUUGAAUGCAUUUAGCGGACUUCAUUCUGACACAAGCAUUCGGCUAUGUCUCUGGUGUAAAGAUUAUCUUCUCUUCAUUCCACCAGCUUCGAUUUCUAUAGCACAAGUCACAGUUAAGAACUAUUGGUCCUGAUCUGUGGAAUGCUCAGCAAAUUUAUCUCAUGAUUUUCCUACUUGUCUAAACGGUUAAAAAAUCUAUGAGUUUCAGAAAUAUUUAUCUGCGGGUGGCUCCAAAUGUGUAAUAGGGGUGCAAUUUCAACGUUAUUAUGUUCGAUGUGGUAUGUCAAUGAAAUCUCCCACAAAUCUCAGCUAGUCGUCUUACAAAAAAGUGGAACACAUUGGAUACUAAAUUUGAACAGAAGACGAAAUGAUCACUACUGGUAUGUUUUGGAUCAUUGUUAUGCACGAUCAGUGCUAACCUGGUGAUAAAGAACAACAAUAACAACAGUGUUUUGUAUUUUUAAACACAAUAAGUAUAAAUUAUUCCUAUUGCCUAGACAUUUCGCAAGCGUGAGAUUUCUUUUAAAUACGUCAAAAUUAGUUUGUGUUUGGUGCAUUACAGUUUAGCAGCUGGCAUUUUUCGUUUCUUUUUCCCUUCAUUGCUAUGAUUGAUAUUGUCCUUAACAUCUAACACAUUAUUUAUUUACGUAUCGGUUUUAAUAAUAAUGGGGUCUGUUUUUACAAGACUAAAUAAAUUCUGAAUGUAAGGAAAGAUAUCAACAAUAAAAGAGUCUGGAAUUUUUUUUUAAGAACAAAAUUAGUCUUUAGGAAACGCGUACUGUUUACUUAUGUUUAUGCUAUGCUAUCAUGGAAAGCAAUACAGUUCUGUUAAAACUACUUUAAGCCAUUCUUUAAAUGUUUAUCCCAUUGGCAAUACGAAUUGCUUUCCAUAGGUUUUUUUUUAAACGCUUAAUUAUCUUUAUAAAUAUAAUAGGCACGCAUUUAUUCUGUCAAUUGUUGGUAUUAAAACACUUUCCUAAAGACAUUAAUUGUAUAAAUAAACAUAUUUUCAGCUUCUUCAAUAUAAACUUAUGGGAUAACAUGCGAAAUAUCAGUUGUGAAUUCCCACCUAUUUUCUACCAAUUCCUUUUAUUCGGCACACAGGCCAUGACACAGAGGGUACAACACAAGAACAUAACAAAAAACAUUAAGGGGAUGGGGUUAUACCUUAGUUAAAAAAUCGAAUAUAAUGAAAUCAGAUGAAUUUACACAGUACAAUGAAAUCGAAAGGAAUUUUAAAAUUAUACGUUGAUAUAUUUUUCGUGUUCGUGUUCGACCCGCCGGUUUUUUCUUUUUUUUUUAAUUUUUUAUAAUACCCCCUUUUUUAAUUAAUUUUUCCUUCCGUCUUUUCCUUCUUUUCCGUUCAGACCGGCUACACUACCGCGGCCCCGUUUACUCUCAACUUCCUUAUGACAUUUUCAGACAGGCAUCUCUUCUAGAGACUGAUCUUUCUGGACAGGUGGUAGUUAAAAAAAAAUAAACCAACCCGUGUCCGGAGAUAAAGUCGCCAGUCUCAAUUCCUCUUCUACGCGUCACCCAUACUGUCUCUUUCAAUACAGCUACUAAGAAGAAAAAUGACGCUUCCUUUUUCUUAUUAAAGGAGGGAGGCGGCACAAUCUUGAUGAUAGACUCAAUCGAUAACCGUACUCUUUCCGUAUCUGACACCAUUUGUUCGACAUAGGUUAUCAGUCCCCUAAAUUCCUCACAAUGUACGAAGGCGUGCGUGACAGUUUCGCUGACACGCCCGUACCUCGGUCACGUGGGUGGGAUACCAGCUCCAUGCCUUGACAGCAUCUCUCGAACUGGCAAAGCCGAUCAGUAGCACAUCCAGGUCAGGGAUUUCUGGAAAUUGUCCAGAUACCUCGGCCCAAAUAUUCUUCCGAAAAGGUUGACAAGCUGUUCCUCGUCGAAGCUUAGAGUAUCCCCCAGGACGUCGUCGGACAUGUGCUCUACCAGCCUGCUAUAAAAACCUGUAGUGGUAGCCCCGCUGCCGGUAUUGCUCACUCGGGAGAACAGAGCAAGUGCAUGUCUUCACUUCCUCUGCCAUUCACUCAUGUUCGGUCUCCUCGUGAUCUAUGCUCCUACGUCCUGCAGGGACGUCAAUUGUGGCAGGAAGAACUUGACAUGCGGUGACCACACCCGUUCACCAUACAGGUAGAGCCAGAUGUGUCUCAGCGUCAGCGCAUACAUGCGCAUCAUCAGCCAAGGCAUCCCUAACUUACCCUUUCACGGUUUCUGGCAGCAGAUGGAGCGCCUCACAAGUGGUGGUUUCCCAUUCCUCAAAAAGCGGAAAAGGAUCCAUUCUAGCCUGGUCAGCCACACCCCGGGGCACGGCACAACGGUUAGGCGAUAGGUUAUCACAGAUGCUAUAAACACUUGUGCAACCUCGGCCCUCCCUAGCAAGGAUAGCAACCUCACAGAUCAAGUCUGGGUUAUGGCCGUCACCUUGCCCGUGACGUCGCUCCAGUUUUUCUCCAUCUGGAGAUCUGGUCCGAACCAGAACCCAAGCAAUUUAACCGGACACUCCGUCCAUCGUCCCACGACGCUGUUGGGAGGCAUCGACUUCCCCUCCACCCCUCCUAUUUUCUACUGCAUGUCAAGUAAGUUAUUACAGGAUAUAUAAUGUAUCAAAAAGUAUCAGUAGGUUGUAACUACUUUAGGGAGAAAGAGAGAUUAAAACCUGAAAUUCUAAAAGCUUCAAAUGUAAUUUCAAAUGAUAUCUUGAAGUCGGAAAAGUGUUAUUAAUUGUUGUAUUCAACAUACAAAUACUCUCAGAUUCAUAUCAGCUGAUGGCCUAUCUGCAACAUGUUAUUAUUACAGAACAGAAAGUUUUCACUCAAUCACUCGUAAUACCAUUACGUCAUCCAAACAGAUGUCCUUUACCAACUGCAAAGUCAUAUCUUGAUUGUAAACAGAAACCAAACACAAGUGAUCAGAAAAUUUAAAUCCUCAGAUUUUUAAUGAUUCAAUGACAUUCGAUAACAUAUUGUUAUAUAUGGGCUCAGAGAUUAUUCCUUAUGUGACGCAAAUCUGUUGGCGAUAAGGACUGCAUGAUUUUUUUAGUUGGUAUCUAAUUACCGGCUUUAUGUCAGACAAAAUGUAAAGUGAAAACCUUUGAUUGUUUCAUUUAUGUAAAACAUUUACUAGAUAUUUCACAUAUUCCAAAACCUCGAUGUGUAACAUAAUACAUAAGAAUUUAUAUCUAUGCCACACCUUCGUUAAUCAAGGAUAUCAUUAAAGUAUAAGUACAUAGUUUUGUAACACUAUAAGAAUGCCUCUAAAAGCUAAAGCUUUUAGUGCAAUUUUAGUAUCGCUUUUCGUGUCUCCUUCAGUUUCAAAGUUUAAACUAGAACGUUCAAUCAGUCGAUUUUCCAAAUAUUUUUAAACAACGUUUCUCUCGAUUGAUUUUCCAGGACUUUUAUGAAGUUUACUGCGUCUUGACGGUCGAAAAUGUGCUGAAGUUUAUUUCCUUUUCUCUUGAUUCUGCUGUGGUUUGUCUAGAGUUAAAAAUUCAGUUUUUACAUCUAUAGCACGGUUUUCGAUAAUGAUAAUCAAUCCCAGAAGCCGAUAUAGAAAGGAGACAUUUGGGUAUUUUAUUGUUCUUCCGUUCAGAAUGAGUGACUGUACUUAAUAUUUACUGUAUUAAUAAUCUUCGAUAUGAUCACACAUUAAGGUCAGCAUGUUCUUUUUAAAGGUGUUGACUAUUUACAACAUAAUUAUCUAAAUGUGAACUAUUCAUAUAUAAAAAACGUUUAAAACAGAAAAUUAUAUAACAAAAGCCUUCGGGAUUAAAUUCUAUAAAAAUCGUGUCUGGAAUCGUUCUAAAUUUUAAGCCCUUGUGGAUAAUAAAAAAAUCAAUUUUAAGCCAUUUUGACUUAAAAUCUUUGAUAGCAUGUUACACAAAAUUAAUUUUUCAAAAUGUGGUAGAUUCUCACAAGACAUUUCACUUUUUAAAAAAAUCGUUUGAAUAACUACAAUGAGUCAAGGUUUUCAUAAUAAUACGUGACUGUGCUGAUUAUUGAAAGUUAGUAUAAUCUAGAUUUGUUGGUUAAUUAUAUUUUUGUGAACAGAAAUUUUUGUUAUAAUUUUUACUCUUUGUUUCAGCGGUUUUAUAACAUUACACUAAAGUGUAGAAUAUCGGAAGAAACACUUUAGCGUUUAAUUACGUUCCUUUCAAACCUCGUUUGAUCGACUUUGUCACUUACCAUGCCAAGAUCGACAAAAUAAUUAACAGUUGUAUAUCGAAUUCGAUUUGAUUGAUUGUAUUCUUUCUUCUAUAUGAUUCUAGUCUUUAUAGCUCUUGCAAAAAUGAUUUUUCUUUAUUAUAAUUCUAUUCACAUCUAGGAUGAAUUAGAGAAAUAUUAAAUAGACACCAAGACUUGAGUGGUACCAUAUCUUCGAUUUCGGAAAAAGAAAAAGACCAAAUUUACUUCAGCAGGACUUGAACUCAGAAAAAGAAGUGCCGUAAGUACAAACCGCAGGAAAUUUGUGCGACGAAUCUGCCAAAUCCACCGUCUUUUAUUUCUCUUGGCAGAUUUUCGCAUUCCUUUCCAGUUUCAGUAAUGAUCAGAGAAUAUCUAUGAAAGCCCGCCGAAAGUAAUCACUGGACAGUUUACACUCUAAACGUUGUAAUAUUUUAAUUAAAAUCUAAAUCUCUGGGUCAUGGAUACAAUGCAAAGUCAGUAAGAAGGCAUGACCUGCCGUCAUUUUAACAGGAAGGUUGUCUUCUAUCUAAUGCAGUUGGUUAUAUGAUAUUUA
rnacentral:lncRNA from 1 species